AAACUUCCAGAAAGGAUCAUCAGAACAAUGAAGUAUCGGCGCAUAUUUCCGGUGGAAUCGUUGACUAAGGUGGAAAAUCCAUGGAAGGGCAUUACUCUGAACCGCUGUAUUUUAGUGGCCAUGGUCGUUGUGGUGGUCAGCUCAACGGUUGAGAUAGUACAAGAAACAAUAGAGCCAUACUUUGAAGCAACAGAAGAAGAAGCUGGAUCAGAGCUUCAGGCUGCUGAAGCAGAGUCUGAUUCAUGGUGGGACACCUUUGCAUUUUGGAACUGGGGAUCUGAGGAUAAACUGGAAGAGUUUAAAAAGAAAAGAGCAGCAAGGCCAAAGCAGGAUGGAGAGAAGGUUGGACCACGCAAGAUCCGUAACAAAGAAAUGGCUAAAGGAUUUCUCAAGGAGAGGGAAUAG
ensembl:lncRNA